GACGAACGCUGGCGGCGUGCUUAACACAUGCAAGUCGAACGGCAAGGCCCUGCUUGCAGGGUACUAGAGUGGCGAACGGGCGAGUAACACGUGGGUGCUCUGCCCUGCACUUCGGGAUAAGCCUGGGCAACUGGGUCUAAUACCGGAUAGGAGACAUUUCUAGCGUGAUGGUUGGAAAGUUUUUUCGGUGUUGGAUGAGCUCGCGGCCUAUCAGCUUGUUGGCGGGGUAAUGGCCUACCAAGGCGGCGACGGGAAGCCGGCCUGAGAGGGUGGACGGCGACAUUGAGACUGAGAGGCGGCCCAGGCUCGGACGAGAGGAAGCAGGGGGGAAUAUUGCACCAGGGGCGCAAGCCUGAUGCAGCGGCGCCGCGUGGUGGAUGACGGCUUUCGGGUUGAAGACUACUUGCGCGAGGAACGAAGCUUGUUGUGACGGUACCUAAAGAAGAAGCACCGGCUAACUACGUG
rnacentral:rRNA from 1 species